rnacentral:rRNA from 1 species
UACGUAGGGCGCAAGCGUUGUCCGGAAUUAUUGGGCGUAAAGAGCUCGUAGGCGGCCUGUUGCGUCCGCUGUGAAAUCCCGGGGCUCAACCCCGGGCGUGCAGUGGAUACGGGCUGGCUGGAGGCAGGCAGGGGAGAACGGAAUUCCCGGUGUAGCGGUGAAAUGCGCAGAUAUCGGGAGGAACACCGGUGGCGAAGGCGGUUCUCUGGGCCUUACCUGACGCUGAGGAGCGAAAGCGUGGGGAGCGAACAGG